rnacentral:rRNA from 1 species
AGAGUUUGAUUCUGGCUCAGGAUGAACGCUGGCGGCGUGCUUAACACAUGCAAGUCGAACGAAGCACUUAAGAUUGAUUCUUCGGAUGACGUCUUUUGUGACUUAGUGGCGGACGGGUGAGUAACGCGUGGGUAACCUGCCUCACACAGGGGGAUAACAGUUAGAAAUGACUGCUAAUACCGCAUAACCCGAUAGGAUCGCAUGAUCCAGACGGAAAAGAUUUAUCGGUGUGAGAUGGACCCGCGUCUGAUUAGCUAGUUGGUGAGGUAACGGCCCACCAAGGCGACGAUCAGUAGCCGGCCUGAGAGGGUGAACGGCCACAUUGGGACUGAGACACGGCCCAA